rnacentral:rRNA from 1 species
GACGAACGCUGGCGGCGUGCCUAAUACAUGCAAGUCGAACGCAGUGGGGACGGGUGAGUAACACGUGGGUAACCUCCCAUCAGAGGGGAUAACACUUGGAAACAGGUGCUAAACCGAACUUGAUGGAUGGACCCGCUGUGCAUUAGCUAUUUGUUGAGGUAACGGCUCACCAAGGCCACGAUGCAUAGCCGACCUGAGAGGGGGAUCGGCAAACAUGGGACUGAGACACGGUCCAGACUCCUACGGGAGGUAGCAGUAGGGAAUCUUAGGCAAUGGACGAAAGUCUGACCGAGCAACGCCGCGUGAGUGAAGAAGGUUUUCGGAUCGUAAAACUCUGUUGUGAGAGAAGCGGUAUCUAACCAGAAAGCCACGGCUAACUACGUGCCAGCAGCCGCGGUAAUUC